AAUACGUAUGCGUGGUGGAAGAAGAAUAAGAGGAAGAUCAAGAGCUGUAGUCUCAGAUGAGAUCAGAGCUACUGUAAUUGAUCAUGUAGUAAAUCAUGGUCACUCAAUGAGAGAGGCUGGUCAGAGAGUGCAGCCAAAUCUGCAACGCUCUACAGUGGCAUCUAUUGUUAGAGUUUUCCGGCAAACCAACAGGACUCAACGGUUACCUCACACAGGAGGGAGAGGACGGAUGUUCACUGAUGUGCAGGAAACUGCCAUUGUUGAUAUGGUCAUCAGAAACAAUGGGAUAAAACUCACUGAAAUUAGACACAGAGUCUUGGCAGACAACGUUACUUUCGCAAAUAUCCACAGUGUAAGCAUAACAACAAUUUCUAGAGUCCUGAAAAAACAUCAGGUCAGGAUGAAACAGUUGUACACUGUGCCUUUUGAGAGGAACUCUGAACAUGUCAAGCAACUCAGGAACCAGUAUGUCCAGAGAGUCAUGGAGAUUGAAGGCAGGCAAACACACCACAUUUUCAUCUUUGUGGAUGAGGCAGGUUUCAACUUGGCCAAAGCACGGCGACGAGGGAGGAAUGUGAUUGGGAAGAGAGCCACAGUGAAUG